CCGGUGUAGCGGUGAAAUGCGUAGAUAUCGGGAAGAACACCAGUGGCGAAGGCGCUCUGCUGGGCCAUCACUGACGCUCAUGGACGAAAGCCAGGGGAGCGAAAGGGAUUAGAUACCCCUGUAGUCCUGGCCGUAAACGAUGAACACUAGGUGUCGGGGGAAUCGACCCCCUCGGUGUCGUAGCCAACGCGUUAAGUGUUCCGCCUGGGGAGUACGCACGCAAGUGUGAAACUCAAAGGAAUUGACGGGGGCCCGCACAAGCGGUGGAGUAUGUGGUUUAAUUCGAUGCAACGCGAAGAACCUUACCAGGGUUUGACAUCCUGCGAAUCUCUUGGAAACAGGAGAGUGCCUUCGGGAACGCAGUGACAGGUGGUGCAUGGCUGUCGUCAGCUCGUGUCGUGAGAUGUUGGGUUAAGUCCCGCAACGAGCGCAACCCACGUCUUUAGUUGCCAGCAUUUAGUUGGGCACUCUAGAGAGACUGCCGGUGAUAAACCGGAGGAAGGUGUGGAUGACGUCAAGUCAUCAUGCCCCUUACAUCCUGGGCUACACACGUACUACAAUGCUACGGACAAAGGGCAGCAAGUUCGCGAGGACAAGCAAAUCCCAUAAACCGUGGCUCAGUUCAGAUCGUAGGCUGCAACUCGCCUACGUGAAGGCGGAAUCGCUAGUAAUCGCAGGUCAGCAUACUGCGGUGAAUACGUUCCCGGGCCUUGUACACACCGCCCGUCACACCAUGGAAGUUGGCCACGCCCGAAGCCGUUACUCCAACCCUUGUGGAGGAGGACGUCGAAGGUGGGGCUGAUGACUGGGGUGAAGUCGUAACAAGGUAUCCGUACCGGAAGGUGCGGAUG
rnacentral:rRNA from 1 species